rnacentral:rRNA from 1 species
CCCUUAGAUGUUCUGGGCCGCACGCGUGCUACACUGAGUGGAUCAGCGGGUCAGGUUGCGCGAAAGUGUUUCCUAAUCUUGAAAUCCGCUCGUGAUGGGGAUUGACGGUUGCAAUUUUCCGUCAUGAACGAGGAAUACCUUGUAAGCGCGGGUCAUCAUCCCGCGCUGAAUACGUCCCUGCCCUUUGUACACACCGCCCGUCGCUCCUACCGAUUGAGUGGUCCGGUGAGGCUUUGGGAUCUGAGCGGAAAGAGCGCUUCGCUGCUUCUGCUCGGAAAACUCAGUCGAACCUUAUCAUUUAGAGGAAGGAGAAGUCGUAACA